rnacentral:RNase_P_RNA from 1 species
CGAGUAAGCCGGACAGCCGCGUGUACAUUUGGCCGAAAGGCCGUAUGCGAGGAAAGUCCGGGCUCCAAAGGGCAGGAUAGCGGAUAACGUCCGCCGAAGGCAACUUCAGGACAAGUGCAACAGAGAAAUACCGCCGCGUUUUUCGCGGUAAGGGUGGAAAGGCGGGGUAAGAGCCCACCGGACUUUAUGGUAACAUAAGGCCCCUGUAAACUCUAUCCGGAGCAACACCCGAUUGUGGACAAUGGCCGGCCCGGUCGUCCCGAUGAGGUGGCACGAGGUGUGCGGCAACGUACAUCCCAGACAGAUGGCUGUUUAAGACAGAACCCGGCUUAUAGACUUACUCGUUUU